rnacentral:rRNA from 1 species
CCUACGGGAGGCAGCAGUAGGGAAUAUUGCUCAAUGGGGGAAACCCUGAAGCAGCAACGUCGCGUGGAGGAUGAAGGUUUUCGGAUUGUAAACUCCUUUUGUUAGAGAAGAUAAUGACGGUAUCUAACGAAUAAGCACCGGCUAACUCCGUGCCAGCAGCCGCGGUAAUACGGAGGGUGCAAGCGUUACUCGGAAUCACUGGGCGGAAAGAGCGCGUAGGCGGGAUAGCAAGUCAGAUGUGAAAUCCUAUGGCUUAACCAUAGAACUGCAUUUGAAACUGUGAUUCUAGAGUAUGGGAGAGGUAGGUGGAAUUCUUGGUGUAGGGGUAAAAUCCGUAGAGAUCAAGAAGAAUACUCAUUGCGAAGGCGACCUGCUAGAACAUAACUGACGCUGAUGCGCGAAAGCGUGGGGAGCAAACAGGAUUAGAUACCCGAGUAGUC